CCUACGGGUGGCUGCAGUCGAGAAUCUUCCGCAAUGGACGAAAGUCUGACGGAGCGACGCCGCGUGCGGGAUGAAGGCCCUUGGGUUGUAAACCGCUGUCAGAGGGGAUGAAAUCUUCGGAGGUACUCCUCCGAAGUUGACAGAGCCUCAAAGGAAGCACGGGCUAAGUACGUGCCAGCAGCCGCGGUAACACGUACUGUGCGAACGUUAUUCGGAAUCACUGGGCUUAAAGGGUGCGUAGGCGGCGAUUCAAGUCAGAUGUGAAAUGCCUGAGC
rnacentral:rRNA from 1 species